CUUGUGUAUUUCAGUUCAUUUGUGAUUCUAGUACCGAUUCUAGUUUUCAUAUCGUAAGUCGUAAUACAGUUCUUCACCAAGUGAAUGGCCGAUCCCACGACGAGCUCUCCGUUAUUGAAUGUCCAUGAAGGUGGAGGAGAUGAAGUAAAGAGAAGAACAUCAACUUGGGUUCAAAAACUGAUCGACGUGGAAGAAACAAAGGCUCAGAUAGGGUUAAGUGGAGCACUUGAGACAUUGUGUGGAUAAGGCUAUGGUGCAAAAAGCUACAAAAUGAUGGGGAUUCAUCUACAAUCAUCUUGCAUCGUCUCGUUAGUCUUUACCAUCUUAUGGUUCUUCACAGAAUCGGUUUUCGGACUUCUCAGACAAGAUCCUAGCAUCUCAAAACAAGCUGCUCUCUAUCUGAAGUACCAGGCUCCUGGUUUAUUCGCUUACGGGUUCUUACAGAACAUUCUGAGAUUUUGUCAAACACAAUCCAUCGUUACUCCGCUAGUGAUCUUCUCGUUUGCUCCUUUGGUGAUUAACAUUGGUACCACAUAUGCUCUAGUUGAUUUAGCCGGGUUUGGAUUCAUUGGUGCUCCAAUAGCUACAUCUAUUUCAUUGUGGAUAGCUUUCCUUUCUCUCGGAACUUAUGUGAUGUUUUCAGACAAGUGUAAGGAAACAUGGACUGGAUUCUCGUUGGAAUCAUUCCGUUAUGUAGUACUAAACUUGACAUUAAGCAUCCCU